GCGGGUGUAGUUCAAUGGUAGAACAUCAGCUUCCCAAGCUGAGAACGUGGGUUCGAUUCCCAUCACCCGCUCCA
rnacentral:tRNA from 14 species